rnacentral:rRNA from 1 species
AGCAGCCGCGGUAAUUCCAGCUCCAAUAGUGUAUAUUAAAGUUGUUGCAGUUAAAAAGCUCGUAGUUGAAUUUCGGGAUCAAUGCGUCGGUCGUGCUUUUUGGUACGUACUGGUGUCAUUGGUUUCUCCUUUCUGACGAGCCGUGAUGUCAUUAAUUUGGUGUUGCGGGUAGUUAGGACUGUUACUUUGAAAAAAUUAGAGUGUUUAAAGCAGGCAUUAGCUUGAAUACAUUAGCAUGGAAUAAUGAAAUAGGACGUUCGAUCCUAUUUUGUUGGUUUCUAGGAUCAACGUAAUGAUUAAUAGGGAUAGUUGGGGGCAUUAGUAUUCAAUUGUCAGAGGUGAAAUUCUUGGAUUUAUUGAAGACUAACUACUGCGAAAGCAUUUGCCAAGGAUGUUUUCAUUAAUCAAGAACGAAAGUUAGGGGAUCGAAGACGAUCAGAUACCGUCGUAGUCUUAACCAUAAACUAUGCCGACUAGGGAUCGGAUGAUGUUAAUUUUUUAAUGACUCAUUCGGCGCCUUACG